rnacentral:rRNA from 1 species
AUUGAACGCUGGCGGCAUGCCUAACACAUGCAAGUCGAACGGCAGCACAGUAAAGACUUCGGUCUUUAUGGGUGGCGAGUGGCGGACGGGUGAGUAACGCGUAGGAAUCUGUCCUGGAGAGUGGGAUAACCCGAGGAAACUCGGGCUAAUACCGCAUGAUAUCGAGAGAUCAAAGGCAGGGGACCCUUCGGGGCCUUGCGCUCUAGGUUGAGCCUACGUCGGAUUAGCUAGUUGGUGGGGUAAAGGCCUACCAAGGCGACGAUCCGUAGCUGGUCUGAGAGGAUGACCAGCCACACUGGGACUGAGACACGGCCCAGACUCCUACGGGAGGAAGCAGUGGGGAAUCUUGGACAAUGGGGGAAACCCUGAUCCAGCGAUGCCGCGUGUGUGAAGAAGGCCUUCGGGUUGUAAAGCACUUUAGGUGGGGAAGAAAGGUAAUGAGUGAAUAACUGAUUGCUCUGACGGUACCCAAAGAAUAAGCACCGGCUAACUCUGUGCCAGCAGCCGCCGCGG